rnacentral:rRNA from 1 species
UGGGGAAUAUUGGACAAUGGGGGAAACCCUGAUCCAGCAAUGCCGCGUGAAUGAUGAAGGCCUUAGGGUUGUAAAGUUCUUUUACCUGUGAAGAUGAUGACGGUAACAGGAGAAAAAGCACCGGCUAACUUCGUGCCAGCAGCCGCGGUAAGACGAAGGGUGCUAGCGUUGUUCGGAAUGACUGGGCGUAAAGGGCGCGUAGGCGGUUUUCUAAGUUAGGCGUGAAAGCCCCGGGCUUAACCCGGGACGUGCGCUUAAGACUGGAAGGCUUGAGUAUGGAAGAGGUAAGUGGAAUUCCUAGUGUAGAGGUGAAAUUCGUAGAUAUUAGGAAGAACACCAGUGGCGAAGGCGGCUUACUGGUCCAUUACUGACGCUGAGGCGCGAAAGUGUGGGGAGCAAACAGG